rnacentral:lncRNA from 1 species
AUGAUUCCAAAACGGAAUCAUAAGCUUCCAACAGGUUUUUAAAGAGAAUAUUUUAGAAACGUUUUGGAAGCGAGAUUCCGCAAGCUUCCACAAGGUUCCGAUUCCGAUUCCGAUUCCGAAGCGGGAAACGAACGUCCGAUGAAGCUUCCGUGCAACGUAGGUAAUGACAUAUCCUUCUUAGGGGUUAACAUAUUCAUUUAUCUAUUUUCCACUAGUGCAUCCGAAAAGAAAUAUCUUAUAUAAGUAGUCAUCUUAUCAAUAAAAACAACAUUAUAUCGGUUCAAAAAAUAAAAAUAAACACAACGUUAUAUCAUAGAAGUGACACGGACAACAAUAGUGACAUCUCCCCCCGGACAUUCUUCCUAUCUCAAUCAAUUGGGCUCACUUCUUAUUCAAAUCACUAUUUAGCAAAAAGUAUUUAGGUACCAAUCUUGAAUUAAUCGUCAACUACAUUUAUUAAAAUUAGAUUAGUUUAUGCUCUGUUCGAAAAUGCACGGCCGCAACGACGGUAAUCAGAGCAUAACCGUGGCGAAUUGGAGCAAAUUGGAAUUUCAAAACAGAGGACCGAGUUGUUAUAUAUAGAUAUGUAUCAUAUUAAUUAGUUAAUAAGCUGCUACUAAAAACAUUUCCAAAGCACCAAAUAUUCAUAUAAUUUUUAAUUAUACAAUAUCUAUACUAUUAAAACGUAAUCUUUAACAGGAUUUUGCCUUUAGUUUUAGAGUUAUUUACAAGAGAAUGUUACUCAUAAAUUUAUGCAUAUCUUAACUAAUUAAUAUCAACCAAUUAAUUUAGGAAAUAUUCUAAAACUUAAAAACCAAAUAAAUUAAUUAUAUUCUCUCUUUUAUUAUUUCCUUUUUAAACGUACCACUAUAUUUAUUUUCCUAAAAAAUAUCACAGCAAUUUUAAAAAACAAUCUUAUUCAUUAUAACUUCUUAUAUAAUAUUGUUUUCCAAUUUAAAGUUUUUAAUAACACAAAACUAAACAAUAUAGGGAAAUUGCCACAAAUACCACAUUCAUAGUACCACUUUUCAUGUUUACACUAACCACUUUUAUCCUCACUUUUAAUGAAGAGUAAAAUACAAUUAUAUCCUUAGGGUUAACUAAUCUAGACUUAGAGUUUAGAGUUGAGGGGUGGGGUAGAGUUUUUGGAAAGUAAAAUUUAUGAUUCUAAUAAAUAUAUAAAUAUUUAAAAAUAUAUAAAAAAUUUUAAAAAAUAGUUUCAAACAUAAUUUUCGUCUUUCCAAAAGAAAUUUGAAAAAAAAAUAAAAAAGUAAAAAAAAAUAAUGUAAUUUUUUUAUGUUUUCGAAUUUUUUUUUUUUUAUUUUUUUUUAUUUUUUUAAUUUUAAUUUUUUUUUAUUAUAUAUUUUUUUUUUAAUUUUUAAUUUUAUUUUUUAUUAUUUUUAUUUAAAUAAUAAUUUAUUAUAUAUAUAAAUAACAAGGGUAUAAGAGUCUUUUGCCAUUUAAAAAUAAUGUAUUUUUGAAAAUGUCUCAUUAGUGGUGGUAAAAAUGAAAAGUGAUACCAUGAAAGUGGGUGUUUCAAAAAAAG